rnacentral:rRNA from 1 species
AGUGAACGUUGGCGGCGUGGAUUAGGCAUGCCAGUCGAGCGAGAACCGUACCAAUACGGGGACAGCGGCGAAAGGGGCAGUAAUGUGUAGGUACAUACCUCCGGGUUCGGGAUAGCUGUGGGAAACUGCAGGGAAUACCGAAUAACGUCUCCGGACAGAAGGAGUGAUUCCACCUGGAGAGGGGCCUGCAUCCUAUUAGCUUGUUGGCGGGGUAACGGCCCACCAAGGCGACGAUGGGUAGCGGGUGUGAGAGCACGACCCGCGUCAUUGGGACUGGGACACUGCCCAGACACCUGCGGGUGGCUGCAGUCGUGAAUCUUCGGCAAUGGGCGCAAGCCUGACCGAGCGACGCCGCGUGCGGGAUGAAGGCCUUCGGGUUGUAAACCGCUGUCGUAGAGGAGGAAAUGCAGGGGGGUUCUCCCCUCUGUUUGACCUAUUCUAGGAGGAAGUACGGGCUAAGUUCGUGCCAGCCGCCGCGGUAA